rnacentral:lncRNA from 1 species
AGCAGUACCGCUGAGGUCCUUUUGCCUGUGGUGGUAGCCUCGUUUUUUGUUUUUUUGUUUUUUUGUUUUUUUUUUUUUUGCUGUUUGCAGGUAAGUCUUGCAGCUGCUCGCUGUUUGGGUCUACACAGUCUUAAUGAGCUGUAAUACGUGAAGGUCUGCAGCUUCACUCACCAGGAGCAAUGAACAACUCCAGACGCGCCUCCUUAAGAGCUGCAAUACACCGCGAGGGUGUGCAGCCUCACUCCUGAACCAGUGAGACCACGAACCCACCAGAAGGGAAAAACUCUGAACACAUCUGAACAUGAGAAGGAACAAACUCCGGAUACGUUGCCUUUAAGAAGUGUAACACUCACCCCGAGGGUCUGUGGCUUCAUUCUUGAAGUCAGACCAAGAACUCACCAAUUUGGGACACAGCUUACCUCCCUUCCUCCUGAGUGUGGGGUGGCCUUAGUGAUUCACUGAUACUAGAACGUGUCAGAAGCGAAGGUGUGCAACUUCCAAGACUAGGUCGUAAAAGGCCUUGUGUCUUCCUCCUUGCUCUGUUCCUGGGUUCUUUUAAUCUGGAAAGCCAACUGCCAUGCCCUCAUAUAAGGGCACUUAAGCGGCCUUGGGGAGAAGACCACAUGGUGAAGAACUGAGACGUCUUGUCAACAGCCAGCUUUACCCUGGCUGUUGUGUGGAGAAUGAAGUGGAGAGAAGAGCAAGGAGGUACUGCCGUUAUCUAAGGGAGGAAUGAUGGCUUGCACAAGGGCGGUGGCAGCACAGAUGGAGGUAAGUGGAUGGAUGUGAACUAUAUUGAGGAGGAAAAGCUGGGAUUGGAGUUAGAUUGGAUGUGGAGACAGCAAGACAGAAAAAGGCCUGAGGGGCUGGGUGCAGUGGCUCACACCUGUAAUCCCAGCACUUUGGGAAGCUGAGGUAGGUGGAUCACUUGAGGUCUUUGAGACCAGCCUGGCCAACAUGGUGAAACCCCAUCUCUACUAAAAAUACAAAAAUUAGCUGGGCUUAGUGGCACACACCUGUAAUCUCAGCUACUCAGGAGGCUGAGGCAGGAGAAUCACUUGAACCCGGGAGGUGGAGGUUGCAGUGAGCCAAGAUCGUGCCACUGCACUCCAGCCUGGGCGACAGAGUGAGACUCUGUCUCAAAAAAAGAAAAAGGUCUGAGGGAUGACUUUAGGUUCCUGGUUGGGGAAACUGGAUGGAUAGCAGAGGUGCCAUCCACUGAGAUGAAGAACCUUGGAAAAGCACCAGUUUUCUGGGGAAAGAUCAUGAGUUCAUUCUCUUCAAUAGUUAAUUUGAAGUGUCUUUGAAAUAUACAAGUAAAGAUGUAUUGUAUACAGUCAGAUAUGGGCCUAGAGCUCAGAGACUCAAGGCCAGAGAUGCAGAUUUUAGGACUGUAUUAGUCAGGGUUGGCUAAUAUAUAUAAUGGUUAAGAAAGAAAAAUCACAAGAAAGAAAAAGAAGAUCUGAACAAUGCUGUCAACCACUUGACCUAACUGACAUUUGUAGAACACUCCAAGUACACAUUGUACAUUCUCCAAGAUAGACCAUAAAACGAGUUGGGCCAUAAAACGAGUCUCAAUACAUUUCAAACUAUUGAAACCUUCGAUAAAUCUUAAUUUAUUGAAAUUAGAAGUCAAUUACAGUAAGAUAUCUGGCACAACCCAAAUAUUUGGAAAUUAAAUACACACUUCCAGAUAACCCAUGGGUAGAAGAAUAAGUCACAAAGAAAAUGAGUAAUUAAAAAUUAUUUUGCACUGAACAAUAAAUAAAAGUAUAAUCUAUCAAAAUUUGUGAUUUACAACUAAAGGAGUGCUUAAAGGAAAAUAUUUAGCUUUAUUAGGAAAGAAGAAAGAUGUAAAAGUAAGGAUCUAAGGUUCCACUUCAAAAAGCUAGGAUAAAAAAGAGCAAAGUAAACUUUAAGUAGAAGAAAGGAAAAAAUAAUAAAAAAACAGUCAAUAUUUGUGAAGCAGAAAACAUAUAAGAAGAGAAAAUUAACAAAGCCAAAAGCUGGUUCAUUGAAAAUAUCAACGAAAUUUAUAAACUCCUAGCUGGCUAGGUUGAUUAAAGAGACAGCAUGCAAAUUAUAAAUUUAGGGAAUGAAAGGAGAUAUUGAUAGUAACAGGAGGCAGUCAAAUGCCUCGGCAGACAGGAGCAGGUCCCUGGUGAAGCCCCACCUCCAAACCAAAGACAGUUUAAAGCCUGAAAGCCAAACUACAAGUUAAAUCCUUGGACUGGAUUAAGAAUUUGUCCUCCUGUUUGGUGUGCCUUCCUCUGAUUGAUCCCCACCUUUCACCUAUUUUACAUAUACCUACCCUUUCCUAAUUGGUUUUCUACACUGUCAUGCCCACCUUUGAGUGAUCUCUUAAUUUUAACCUUCUUUGCAUACUCACAAACCAAUCAGCACACACUCCCCAUCCUGUGCCUAUAAAGACUCAGUCAGUAGAAGGGGAGAUGGCCUGACUUCGAGGAAGAGACAACCUGACUUUGGGGAAGACAACCUUCCCUUCCCAUCCCCUCUCCAGCUCCCCUCUCCACUGAGAGCUGUUUCCGUCACUCAAUAAAAUGCUCUGUCUUCACCCACUCAUUGGGUCCCAAGCUCUUGUCCAGCAUCCAGGCAGAAUGAGGUCAUGCAGGUGAUGGAAGAGUUUCUUCCUGGAUGCUGGAUAAGACCUCAGGACCCACCAAGUGCAGGUACCCAGAAAAGGCUGUCACAAUGGCCCUUUGCCCUCAGCAGCGGAGGGCAGCUACCCCACAUGACGAGGCAAGGGGCCAACUAAGCUGCUAACACACCACUGUCCAUCAGACCAUGGACAGUGGAACUAAAAGACUACUAUAACACACCCCCUUUGGGGCCUCGGGGUCAUGGGCAACCUCACCUGGGUGUCACUGUUCCCCUCAAGGUGACACACCUGGUCUGGCCACAGGCCCCCCAAA